rnacentral:lncRNA from 1 species
AUCAAGCAUCCUUAGCAAAGUACCAAUAAUCUCAUAUUAAGAUUUAUAAUCAUUCUAGUUAAUAAACUUUUAGCCCAUAAUCAUUAAACUAAAAACACUCAAAUAAAUUUCAGCCUUGGUUUCAAACAAUAGAAAAAACGAAAUAACAGGUAAAGAGAAAGGCUAAGAGAUGUGAGUCGAAUGUCGAUGGUUCUCCGCAAGUCGUUCACGUCUGGUCCUUUCUCCUCUUCUCUACUUCUUUUUCCGCACUCUUGCUCUGAAAGUUCCUAUUCUAUUUGUUCAAACCUGACGAUUGCCCCCCAUUUUCUCAAAAUAUGAUAUUUAUA